CGGGGGUACACGAGCGGCGAACGGGUGAGUAACACGUGGGUGACCUGCCCUCAGCUCUGGGAUAAGCCUGGGAAACCGGGUCUAAUACCGGAUAUGACCUCCUGUCGCAUGGCGGGUGGUGGAAAGUUUUUUCGGCUGAGGAUGGGCCCGCGGCCUAUCAGCUUGUUGGUGGGGUGAUGGCCUACCAAGGCGACGACGGGUAGCCGGCCUGAGAGGGCGACCGGCCACACUGGGACUGAGACACGGCCCAGACUCCUACGGGAGGCAGCAGUGGGGAAUAUUGCGCAAUGGGCGGAAGCCUGACGCAGCGACGCCGCGUGGGGGAUGACGGCCUUCGGGUUGUAAACCUCUUUCGCCAUCGACGAAGCCCUUCGGGGUGACGGUAGGUGGAGAAGAAGCACCGGCCAACUACGUGCCAGCAGCCGCGGUAAUACGUAGGGUGCGAGCGUUGUCCGGAAUUAUUGGGCGUAAAGAGCUCGUAGGCGGUGUGUCGCGUCGGUCGUGAAAACUUGGGGCUUAACCCUGAGCUUGCGGUCGAUACGGGCAUCACUUGAGUUCGGCAGGGGAGACUGGAAUUCCUGGUGUAGCGGUGAAAUGCGCAGAUAUCAGGAGGAACACCGGUGGCGAAGGCGGGUCUCUGGGCCGAUACUGACGCUGAGGAGCGAAAGCGUGGGGAGCGAACAGG
rnacentral:rRNA from 1 species